CACCAUUUCUUGGCUUGCUGACCUGGCCAGGAGCUGGGGAUGGCGGCAGCACCGCGGAGAGAAAAGAAGAUGACCAUCUUCUCCUGAACAAAAUUAUGAACUGUCAGAGGUUUCAAAGGUAAUAAGUUUUAUGAUGCAAGUGGAAGAAGAACCAGAAGUAAUGAUGAGCUAGAACUUAUCAGAGAUUUCCUUGAAAUCAGGACUUGGUGUUUAUAAGAUGGGUCUGUCCCAGGCUUAUGCAUGACAGCUGGUGAGCAGUUAGUUGCAUGCAGAGGACAUUGCUCAUUUUGGGCCUAUCUACACUCAAAACCAGGAAAAUAUGCUGUGAAAAUUUGCUAUUACUAACGUCUCUAAUAAAGUUUUAAAAAACGAUC
rnacentral:lncRNA from 1 species